rnacentral:rRNA from 1 species
UAAGGAAUAUUCCACAAUGGACGAAAGUCUGAUGGAGCAACACCGCGUGCAGGAUGACGGUCUUCGGAUUGUAAACUGCUUUUAUAUGGGAAGAUUAUGACGGUACCAUAUGAAUAAGGACCGGCUAACUACGUGCCAGCAGCCGCGGUAAUACGUAGGGUCCAAGCGUUAUCCGGAAUCACUGGGCGUAAAGCGUGCGUAGGCGGCGUGUUAAGUGUGAUGUUAAAUCGUGGGGCUCAACCCUAUCGGUGCAUUGCAUACUGGCAUGCUAGAGGAAGGCAGAGGCAAGUGGAAUUUGUAGUGUAGCAGUGAAAUGCGUAGAUAUUACAAGGAACACCAAUGGCGAAGGCAGCUUGCUGGGCCUUUUCUGACGCUGAGGUACGAAAGCGUGGGGAGCGAACAG